GAUGAACGCUGGCGGCGUGCCUAAUACAUGCAAGUCGAACGAAACUUCUUUAUCACCGAGUGCUUGCACUCACCGAUAAGGAGUUGAGUGGCGAACGGGUGAGUAACACGUGGGCAACCUGCCCAAAAGAGGGGGAUAACACUUGGAAACAGGUGCUAAUACCGCAUAACCAUAGUUACCGCAUGGUAACUAUGUAAAAGGUGGCUAUACUACCGCUUUUGGAUGGGCCCGCGGCGCAUUAGCUAGUUGGUAGGGUAAAGGCUUACCAAGGCAAUGAUGCGUAGCCGAAUUGAGAGGUUGAUCGGCCACAUUGGGACUGAGACACGGCCCAAACUCCUACGGGAGGCAGCAGUAGGGAAUCUUCCACAAUGGGCGAAAGCCUGAUGGAGCAACGCCGCGUGGGUGAAGAAGGUCUUCGGAUCGUAAAACCCUGUUGUUAGAGAAGAAAGUGCGUGAGAGUAACUGUUCACGUUUCGACGGUAUCUAACCAGAAAGCCACUGCUAACUACGUG
rnacentral:rRNA from 1 species